UACUGCCACCUCAUUUCCUCCCUCUAGUUUUAGUUAAAAAAAAAAAAAAACUUUCUCUCAUUAUCUUCUUCGUUUCUGUAAACAGAUAGGCUAAAAAGCCGAGGACCACACACUCUUCUCUGGCAAACCACUCUACAGACCACCACCUUAACUCUCAUUUUAUCUCAUCCCGUUUCUUUCUCUCUCUCACUCAACCUCUUAUUACCUAUCUCUUUCUCUCUCACUUAUGUAACACAGAACCGGCGACCCAUCGCCAUUUGCCAUCUCCGGCGAGCCCAGCUGAAUCACCCACUUGCUGCAGGCCUUGCAGCAAGUCACCAGCAACCAUGAUGCUCCUUUAGCAACCUUCUAUUUCUCCUUCACUUUGUAAGCAUAGAGGCAGCACCACCACCACUUAACCUCUCAAACUCUGGCAAGUUCUCGCCAUUCCCAGCGAAGGUUCAAAUGACAAAGUUGGCAAGAAAAUGCAAUUUGGAACAUUUUAGAGCAGUUUUGGGCUAAGAAUAGAUAGCAUAUAAAUGGAGCAUAAUGGAUGGACAUUUUUAAAGUUUAAAGAGGCUAGGAAUGUGCUACAAAUAUGGAAGAAUGAAAUCAAGACUUGGAGGAUAAGGAAUCAGGUAAAAAGAGGGAACAUUAUCUUAACCAACCUUAUCUUAUCCAACAUUAUCCAAACUAACUUUAUCUUAUCUUAUCCUAUUCUAAUCUUAUCCUACCUGAUUUCCAGCUGCAAGGAGAACAUCUAAAUGACAUUAGGAUACCUACAAAUCAAGUUUCUAGAAGCCAAGCCCUUUCCCUAAAAUCAUGCCGCACCUAGCCUUUCUAGAAGGUCUUUUCCCUAUUCCUAAAAGGGUGCCACAUCCACCCCUUAUAGAAGCUAUGUUUCCUACUGUAAGGACCAUUCCUUUUCCUCCCUGGAAUCUGAAUGAGAAAUGUCCUUUUUCCUUGUUGAUUUGGAGUCCUGAUUUCCAUCCUUCUCAACCCUUAGUCGUGCCUUCCUUUCUCCCUAUAAAUACAUUGUGCUGCAGCAAUCAUAAAUGAUCCAUCUCUCACCACAAUUCGCACCGCACAUCCAUCAUACACAAAAAUCUCUCUAGUGCCGUAGCCUUGCAAGGAGAAAGGAAAUGAGACCCUUGGAGCCGUGCCCUGUUAUUCAAGCUUGGAUUGCUGGAACGUUCCUAAAUGUAUUCUAUCUUUUGUUUUCAAUGUUUAAUUUAAGUUA